GGGCAGCCGGCGCCGAGGCUCGGCAGGGGCGGGGCCGCGCGCGCGCGUGCGCAGACGCGCCGGCGCCGGGGCGCGCGGCGAGCUGAGGAGAAAGCUGCGCGGCGGGCGGAGGUGGGCUCGCGGCCGGCGCCGCAGGAGGGUAGGAGUGUGUGUGGAGUGAGAGAAAGAAGACUGACCCUGGAGAGGCCUGAUGCUUCACAUCCAUAGGACAGAGUAGAUAAGGAGGCACGGGGCCCCACAAGGCUGUCUGGUCUCUCGAGUGCUGUUAGCAGUGACCUUCGCCCCUUUCGGAGCCUGCUCACGGAGGGGCACAGGAGACAAGCUCUCCUUCUGUCCUGUGCAGUCCCGGUCCCCUGCCUGGCUCUUGGACCUUAGCCAUCUCCACUGGAUAUUGCCGACGGAGCUGCUGGCAGGGGUCAUGCGUGAGCGGUCAUGCUUUCUUCCUCCAGCCCGCCCAGGCUGUGCUCUCCUCUUACAGGCCAUUGAGAAGCCACUAUACAAGGCUUGGCCUGUUUCACAUAACCUGAAACUGUGUGUCCACCUAAUUGUUACACAAUUUUAAUUGGAUACCAAUUGUUUGCUGAUGGGAGAUUCUGUUACCAAUAAAAGCCCUCUCGC
ensembl:lncRNA